AUUGAACGCUGGCGGCAGGCCUAACACAUGCAAGUCGAGCGGAUGAAGGGAGCUUGCUCCUGGAUUCAGCGGCGGACGGGUGAGUAAUGCCUAGGAAUCUGCCUGGUAGUGGGGGAUAACGUCCGGAAACGGGCGCUAAUACCGCAUACGUCCUGAGGGAGAAAGUGGGGGAUCUUCGGACCUCACGCUAUCAGAUGAGCCUAGGUCGGAUUAGCUAGUUGGUGGGGUAAAGGCCUACCAAGGCGACGAUCCGUAACUGGUCUGAGAGGAUGAUCAGUCACACUGGAACUGAGACACUGUCCAGACUCCUACGGGAGGCAGCAGUGGGGAAUAUUGGACAAUGGGCGAAAGCCUGAUCCAGCCAUGCCGCGUGUGUGAAGAAGGUCUUCGGAUUGUAAAGCACUCUAAGUUGGGAGGAAGGGCAGUAAGUUAAUACCUUGCUGUUUUGACGUUACCAACAGAAUAAGCACCGGCUAACUUCGUG
rnacentral:rRNA from 1 species